UACGGAGGGUGCGAGCGUUGUCCGGAAUCACUGGAGCAGGUAAGGGCGCGUGAGGCGGCGCAGACAGUCAACGGUGAAAGCUUGGGGCUCAACCCCGAGUCGGCCGUCGAUACUUCUGGGCUUGAGCACUGUAGAGGCAGGUGGAAUUCCGGGUGUAGCGGUGGAAUGCGUAGAGAUCCGGAAGAACACCGGUGGCGAAGGCGGCCUGCUGGGCAGUAGCUGACGCUGAGGCGCGACAGCGUGGGGAGCAAACAGG
rnacentral:rRNA from 1 species